CCUACGGGUGGCUGCAGUGGGGAAUAUUGGACAAUGGGCGAAAGCCUGAUCCAGCCAUGCCGCGUGAGUGAUGAAGGCCCUAGGGUUGUAAAGCUCUUUCACCGGUGAAGAUAAUGACGGUAACCGGAGAAGAAGCCCCGGCUAACUUCGUGCCAGCAGCCGCGGUAAUACGACGGGGGCUAGCGUUGUUCGGAAUUACUGGGCGUAAAGCGCACGUAGGCGGAUAUUUAAGUCAGGGGUGAAAUCCCGGGGCUCAACCCCGGAACUGCCUUUGAUACUGGGUAUCUAGAGUAUGGUAGAGGUGAGUGGAAUUCCGAGUGUAGAGGUGAAAUUCGUAGAUAUUCGGAGGAACACCAGUGGCGAAGGCGGCUCACUGGACCAUUACUGACGCUGAGGUGCGAAAGCGUGGGGAGCAAACAGGAUUAGAUACCCCAGUAGUC
rnacentral:rRNA from 1 species